rnacentral:rRNA from 1 species
CCUACGGGAGGCAGCAGUGAGGAAUAUUGGUCAAUGGGCGGAAGCCUGAACCAGCCAAGUCGCGUGCAGGAAGACGGCUCUAUGAGUUGUAAACUGCUUUUGUACAAGGGUAAACCUGAAUACGUGUAUUCAGCUGAAAGUACUGUACGAAUACGGAUCGGCUAACUCCGUGCCAGCAGCCGCGGUAAUACGGAGGAUCCCAGCGUUCUCCGGAUUUAUUGGGUUUAACGGGUGCGUAGGCGGAUUGAUAAGUUAGAGGUGAAAUGUCCGAGCUUAACUCGGGAACUGCCUCUAAUACUGUUGAUCUAGAGAGUAGAUGCGGUAGGCGGAAUGUAUGGUGUAGCGGUGAAAUGCUUAGAGAUCAUACAGAACACCGAUUGCGAAGGCAGCUUACCAAUCUAUAUCUGACGUUGAGGCACGAAAGCGUGGGGAGCAAACAGGAUUAGAUACCCCAGUAGUC